UACGGGGGGUGCAAGCGUUAAUCGGAAUUACUGGGCGUAAAGCGCACGCAGGCGGUCUGUCAAGUCGGAUGUGAAAUCCCCGGGCUCAACCUGGGAACUGCAUUCGAAACUGGCAGGCUAGAGUCUUGUAGAGGAGAGUAGAAUUCCAGGUGUAGCGGUGAAAUGCGUAGAGAUCUGGAGGAAUACCGGUGGCGAAGGCGGCCCCCUGGACAAAGACUGACGCUCAGGUGCGAAAGCGUGGGGAGCAAACAGG
rnacentral:rRNA from 1 species